rnacentral:tRNA from 1 species
GGAUUUGUGGUUCAGUGGUAGAACGCUUGCCUAGCAUGUGUGAGACACUGGGUUCGAUUCUCAGCACCA